GCAGGGGAUCAGGGCAGCAGGCGCGGGGCUGCCACACAGCCAAGCGGACACGGGAUGGGUUGGAGUCUGCUAUUCCUGGGGUUGUUGAGCGGCUUUGCAGGCUGUGGGCUUGCGUUUGAUCUCGUGUACCGAGUGAAGGAAGGGCUGCCCAGAGCCAGGCUCAUCGGGAAUAUCAGAGCCGACCUGAAGAUGGAGCAGGAGGGAGAUGCCCGCAUCACCUACAACCUGCAGCCCGAGGCGGUGAGGUUCGUGGAGCUGGAGAGAGCCAGUGGGCAGCUGCUGACCUCGGACACUGCCCUGGACCGCGAGUCCCUGUGCGCACAGCCCUCGCCCGGGCAGCCCUGCGCCCUGCUCCUCGAUGUCAUCAUCCUGCCUCAGCGCUACUUCAGGCUGGUCAAGGUGCAGGUCAUCGUGGAGGACAUCAACGACAACCCACCCCGCUUCCCGCUGGACCAGCUCAGCCUCUCCAUCCCGGAGAACUCCGAGCUGGGAGCCCGCUUCCCGGUAGAGCCGUCAGCGGAGGACGCAGACGUCGGGGCGAACGGCCUGCAGAGCUACCGCCUGCUCGGCUCCCAGGGCCGCUUCUCCCUGAGCACGGAGCGGGCUGAGGACGGCCGGCUGGUGCCUUGGCUGGUGGUCAGGGCAGCGCUGGACCGGGAGCUGGAGGACGUGUACGGGAUGAGCCUGGUCGCCGAGGACGGCGGCUCUCCCCGGCUGUCGGGCAGCGUCUCCCUCACCGUCACCAUCACCGACAUCAAUGACAACUGUCCCGAGUUCACCCGGACCCACCUGGACGUGACCGUCUUGGCCAACACCACGGUCGGCACCAGUCUGGCUCAGCUCCACACCACCGACCCGGACCUGGGCCACAAUGCCCACACCGAGUACUCGUAUAGCGACCGGGUUUCCCUGACGUCCAGGAAGCUGUUCAGGUUGGACAAGAUGUCGGGGGUCAUCACCUUGGCGGCCCCCAUCCAGAGAGACACCGCCCCGGCCCACAGGUUGACCGUCCUGGCCACCGGCUCGGGCUGCAUCCCGGUGAUAGCCUUUGUCCAGCUGCGGGUGGUCAGGCUGGGGUCCAGUCCCCCAGUGGUGACCCCCCGGUACAUCGCCCUGCAGUCCGACGGGGUCGUGUACCUGAAGGAGACGGAGCCGGCGCCCACGCCCAUCGCGUUCUUCACCGUCACGGACCCAGAGGAGGAGGAGGAGGAGAAGCAGGAGGUCAGGUGUUACCUGGAAGGUGAGGGGCCAUUCCGCCUGGUGCCUUACCUCACCUUUAAAGACGAGUAUUUGCUGGAAACCUCGCAGCCCCUGGACUAUGAGCUGAAGCGGGGAUACGAGCUGGCGGUGGUGGCUGAGAACACCAAGGGCCUGACCCUGCGGACACGCCUCACGGUGCAGCUCAUAGACCAGAACGACAACUCUCCCGCCUUCACCAACUCCCUGGUCGAUGUGAGCAUCGAAGAAAAUAACCCCCCCGACACGUUCCUCAUCCAACUCAAGGCCACCGACGACGACAGCGGGAAGAUGGGUGCCAUCGCUUACACCCUGGAGCCCGGGUCGCCUCCCUGCUUCGCCUUAGACCAGGUGACUGGGGUCUUGGCGGUGUCUGCUUCCCUGGAUCGGGAAGUGCGGGAAAAGUACCGGCUGAUGGUCAGGGCGACAGACGGCGGGUCACCCGCCCGGGAAUCCACAGCCACGGUCCUCGUCACCGUCCUGGAUAAGAACGACAACAAGCCCCGCUUCAUCAACAAGGACUUCAGCUUCUUCGUUCCCGAAAACUUCCCAAGUUUCGGCGAGAUCGGCGUGGUGGGGGUCACCGACCCCGACGCCGGGAGUAAUGGCUGGCUGGCCCUGUCCGUGCUGAAUGGCAGCGAGCACUUCGUCAUCGACACCGGGAAAGGGAACCUCAUGGCGAAGGUGCCCUUGGACAGGGAGCAGCAGAGCUCUUACGUGCUGUGGGUCCAGGCUAUCGAUGGGGGGAAGCCCGCUCUGUCUGCUGUGGCUCAGGUCACCAUCCUUCUGCUGGAUGUCAAUGACAACCCACCCGUGGUCCUGUUCCCACAGUCCAAUCUCUCUUUCCUCCUGGUGCUUCCAUCCACUGCCCCCGGCUCCUCCAUCACCGAGGUGUACGCCGUGGAUAAGGACACGGGCAUGAACGCGGUCAUCGCUUACACCAUCAUUGGCAGGAGAGGACCCCGUCCCGAGUCCUUCGGCAUCGACACCAGCACAGGGAACAUCACCUUGCAAGAGUCCCUGGUGAAGAGUGACUGUGGUUUGUACAGGUUGCUGGUGAAAGUCAGCGAUCACGGCUAUCCAGAGCCACUGCACAGCACAGUCAUCGUCAACCUGUUUGUCAAUGAAACGUUAAGCAAUGAGAGCUACAUAGAAAACUUACUCAGGAAAGAUACCAACAUCAGGAUAGAAGAAAGUGUGCCCGAGACAAGGGUCGAUCCUUUCCAGACAAAGUUGGACCAAUUCCCGUGUCAGGGUGUGUUGAUAGCAUUAUCAGCGACAUGUUUUGGCCUUUUGACUGUGAUGUUUUCUUUGAUGUGCUGUCUUUUCUUGAAAAAAAGGAAGCACAAAAGUAACGAUUACAAUGUCGCAGAGGUUGAGAUCCCAUUAAACAAAUCGAUUGCUUCACACUCACUGGAGAAGAAACCAAUGAACGAUUCCGAUCUGUAAGUGGCAUGGUUCAACUGAUCAAUUAUAUGAUCAACACAUCGUUUACAAGUAAUACUGGACAAUGCUUUGCAGCUAUCACCGUUUGUGUAUUAAAUUUGGUUGGCAUGAAGGAAAUAUAAGUUAUAGACAUCAAAUCUGAUUGUCAUGUAUCUGAUACAGUAUAUUGUUUACAGAACAAAAUUAUAUUCUAUAAAGUACUGUAAAACUAGUGGUCUAUUCACAAAACUGCACACUGUUCCGUUUUUGUUUUAUACUGAAAUUUGCAUGCAGCCUUUUGGAUCUUUGGUUAAAAUCCUGCAUCUCUUCAUUUGACAACUUGGGAAUGGCUGGAUUCAACUCCAAGGAUGAAGAGUAGAGGAAUUGGAAGCCAGACACUGGCCCAUUCCUUCAGCUGGAAAGAGGGACAGGAAACGCUGAGGUUACCUUCUCUCAAGGAGCUGUUGAGUGAAACUAUACAUAUCUAGAAAAGUGACGAUCAGCCACCAGGAACAUCAGCAGAUAUGCUUUUAUUUGACCAGUUACUUUUUUCUCAAGAAUUGCCUUUCUGAAACCAAAUUAGCAUUAUUGUACUAAGAGGUGGCACUGAUUGAUGCAGAAUACUGUACUGCGAUCUCUUAACAGAAGACUCGAGAGGGGUGGCUGACUUCUUUUAUUUCACUUUCCAUCCAGCAAGAUCUGCAGCAUGGAUUUUAAACUGUAUGAGAUUAUUCACAAGGAAAACAAUGAGAAUCAAUACUCAAGACAAUUCCAUAAAUUCUUUCCACAAAUUCUUGCAUUUCUUCGAACAUGUUUAUUGCAAUUAUAAGAAAAUCCCU